CCUACGGGAGGCAGCAGUGAGGAAUAUUGCACAAUGGGGGAAACCCUGAUGCAGCAACGCCGCGUGAGUGAAGAAGUAUCUCGGUAUGUAAAGCUCUAUCAGCAGGGAAGAAAAUGACGGUACCUGACUAAGAAGCCCCGGCUAACUACGUGCCAGCAGCCGCGGGAAUACGUAGGGGGCAAGCGUUAUCCGGAUUUACUGGGUGUAAAGGGAGCGUAGACGGUGUGGCAAGUCUGAAGUGAAAGCCCGGGGCUCAACCCCGGGACUGCCUUGGAAACUGUCAUGCUGGAGUGCUGGAGAGGUAAGCGGAAUUCCGGGUGUAGCGGUGAAAUGCGUAGAUAUUAGGAGGAACACCAGUGGCGAAGGCGGCUUGCUGGACAGUAACUGACGUUGAGGCUCGAAAGCGUGGGGAGCAAACAGGAUUAGAUACCCUGGUAGUC
rnacentral:rRNA from 1 species